AUGUCUUCGGCCAUUCCAUCUCUGCUCUUCUGCCUGCUUCUUCUUGCUCCCCAGCUUGGCAGCUCUUACCACACCAGCAGCAACUCCCACAGCGGAAGGCAUGUCGUCCUCCGUUCAUCCCACGAUUCGAGGGUUCCGCCGAGCUGCCCGCCCGUCCAUUCCGGUGAUGACGACGGUGGGCCGCUGCCCGUAAUGCAUCGGCGGAGCGCGUGCACUCCUUCCAGCGCCGGCUUGGACCAAAGCAAGCCCUCGGUCCGCGACACCUUCGACCGCGACGCCCUCCGCCUAAGCACGCUCUUCGGGAAGUCUGGUGUGACGAUCCCCUCGACCGGCACUCCACUGGCGGCUUUGCCGGGCGCGUCCGAGUACCACGUCGCCGUCGGCUUCGGUACGCCGGUGCAGAAGUUCCACGUGGGGUUCGACACGGGCAGCGCCUCCGCGGGAGCCACGCUGCUCCAGUGCAAGCCAUGCGCCGGGGCCCGUGGCGCGCCGUGCCCCCGUGCUUUCGACCCGUCCAAGUCCACCUCCCUUGCCCACGUCCCGUGCGGCUCGCCGGACUGCGACGUAAGCGAGUGCAGGGGACGCCGCUGCACGCGCACACUCAACUGGAAGAACGGGCUGCAAAAUGCCACCUUCGUGACGGACACGCUCACGCUCACGCGGUCGGUCACCGUGGACAAGCUCAGGUUCUUUUGCCUGGAGAUGGCCGCCAGGUCGGGGGACGGCUCGUCCGGCAUCCUGGACCUCAGCCGGGACAGGCACUCGCUGGCGUCCCGGGUGGCUCCGUCUCCGGCCACGGUGACCUUCUCCUACUGCCUGCCGUCGUAUGCCGACUCCAUCGGCUUCCUCUCCGUCGGCGCCGCCCGGCCGGAGCUCGCCGGCCAUAACGUGUCCUACGCCACCCUGCGGAGCAAGGCCCUGCACCCGAACCUCUACUCCGUCCAGCUCGUCGGUUUCUCCAUCGCCGGACGGGAUUCCAAGAUCUCGCCCAUCAAAUUCGUUGGUGACACGGUGUUCGAGCUGCACACGACCUUCACCUACCUGAGGCCGGACGUCUACGCGGUCCUUCGCGAGCAGUUCAAGGGGUGGAUGAGGCCGUACCGCGCCGCGCCGCCGCUGGGUGACCUCGACACGUGCUACGACUUCAGCGGCCUGAGCGCCCUGAUCCUGCCGGACGUGACGCUCCGCUUCAAGGGCGGAGCGACAAUGGACCUUGACAUCGAGAACUUGAUGUACUUCGAGGACCCCGGGAACCACUUCUCCGUGGGGUGCCUCGCGUUCGCCGCGGCGCGCACCCUGGAGCCCGUGGUUGCGGUGAUCGGAACCCUGGCGCAAGGGAUGACGGAGGUGGUCUAUGACGUGCUCGGAGGAAAGGUUGGGCUAAUUCCCCGCCGCUGCUGA
rnacentral:rRNA from 1 species